UGCUGCAAAUAUCAACCAGACCAUGUGACCUCCUCCCUCCCAGACCACCCUGUCCCCCUCUCUGUCUCCCAGCACGUGGAGAGCAGAAGAGCCAGUUGGGGGAGGAGCGAGGGUGCCUGACAACAGGGAAGGCAAGGAGGAGUAAACCCACCCCUCAGUUGAUUUUAUGAUUGUACUUGGGGAAAAACAACAUUGAACCCCUCGAGAGUGCUUUGACGCAUGCAUGGACAAAGAAGAGACUUCAGCAUGGAGAACAACAUGAAAAUGGGAAAUGAAUGAAAAAAAGCCUUCGUGUCUGCCUUAUGGCCCCGGGCGGGAUGGACAGAAUCUUACAUGGGAGGGAACGUUCUCUUCCUUCCUCUGAGCUAAAAGAAACUUCUGCAGAGCUCAAAAUGGUCCAAACACCUAAAUGUGAGACCUGAAACCAUAAAAAUCUCAGAAGAGGGCACAGACAGUAAUUUCUCCAGCAUUGGACAUGGCAACAUUUUUCUAGAUA